rnacentral:rRNA from 1 species
AACGUAGGAGACAAGCGUUAUCCGGAUUUACUGGGCGUAAAGCGCGUGCAGGCGGUCUGGUAAGUUGGAUGUGAAAGCUCCCGGCUCAACUGGGAGAGGUCGUUCAAAACUGCCAGACUAGAGGACGGUAGAGGGAGGGGGAAUUCCGGGUGUAGUGGUGAAAUGCGUAGAUAUCCGGAGGAACACCAGUGGCGAAAGCGGCCUCCUGGACCGUCCCUGACGCUCAGACGCGAAAGCUAGGGGACCAAACGGG